rnacentral:lncRNA from 1 species
UCUCCUGUGGCUGGGCGUUCUCAAACCUUCGGCUGAACUCAUCAUUCAUUGCUGCCAGCAUAAUACAUCGAACGGUGGUGCAGUCAUUGAGCCACUUCAAGUAAGUAUCUCGGAUCGCCUUACUAGCGUUCGGAGCUGGCUCCUCAGGUGCUGGAUCCGUUAGUACAUAAAGGAUCCGCUCAUGCUCAAAAAUGAUUUUUAAUUUUCGA